GGAGGGGUUCCCGAGUGGCCAAAGGGAACAGACUGUAAAUCUGUCGGCGAAGCCUUCGGAGGUUCGAAUCCUCCCCCCUCCA
rnacentral:tRNA from 2 species